rnacentral:rRNA from 1 species
AUUGAACGCUGGCGGCAGGCCUAACACAUGCAAGUCGAACGAGUGGCGGACGGGUGAGUAAUGUCUGGGAAACUGCCCGAUGGAGGGGGAUAACUACUGGAAACGGUAGCUAAUACCGCAUAACAUCGGAUGUGACCAGAUGGGAUUAGCUCGGAGGGGGGGUAACGGCUCACCUAGGCGACGAUCCCGAGCUGGUCUGAGAGGAUGACCAGCCACUCUGUAACUGAGACACGGUCCAGACGCCUACGGUAGGAAGCAGUGGGGAAUAUUGCACGAUGGGCGCAAGCCUGAUGCCGCCAUGCCGCGUGUAUGAGGAAGGCCUUCGGGUUGUAAAGUACUUUCAGCGAGGAGGCGUUACUCACAGAAGAAGCACCGGCUAACUCCGUGCCAGCAGCCGCGGUAAUAC